GAGCAAUGGGGGGACGCAGGAAGGUAGGGCGAGCAGGCUGCUGGAAUAGCCUGUCCAAGCGGUUAGGCCGCCAGAUAGGCAAAUCCGUCUGGCAAUAAGGCGGAGCCGUGAUGGCGAGGGACCGUUGGUCCCGAAGUCCCCGAUCCUACACUGCCAAGAAAAGCCUCUAGCGAGGUGAGAGGUGCCCGUACCGCAAACCGACACAGGUAGGCGAGGAGAGAAUCCUAAGGUGCGCGGGAGAACUCUCGUUAAGGAACUCGGCAAAAUGACCCCGUAACUUCGGGAGAAGGGGUGCUCUCUUGGGUCCAAAGCCUGAGGGAGCCGCAGUGAAAAGGCCCAAGCGACUGUUUAUCAAAAACACAGGUCUCUGCGAAGCCGAAAGGCGAAGUAUAGGGGCUGACACCUGCCCGGUGCUGGAAGGUUAAGGGGAGCGCUUAGCGGAAGCGAAGGUGCGAACCGAAGCCCCAGUAAACGGCGGCCGUAACUAUAACGGUCCUAAGGUAGCGAAAUUCCUUGUCGGGUAAGUUCCGACCCGCACGAAAGGUGUAACGACUUGGGCACUGUCUCAACGAGAGACCCGGUGAAAUCAUACUACCUGUGAAGAUGCAGGUUACCCGCGACAGGACGGAAAGACCCCGUGGAGCUUUACUGCAGCCUGAUAUGGAAUUUUGGUAUCGCUUGUACAGGAUAGGUGGGAGCCUGGGAAGCCGGAGCGCCAGCUUCGGUGGAGGCGGCGGUGGGAUACCACCCUGGCGGUAUUGAAAUUCUAACCCGCACCCCUUAGCGGGGUGGGAGACAGUGUCAGGUGGGCAGUUUGACUGGGGCGGUCGCCUCCCAAAAGGUAACGGAGGCGCCCAAAGGUUCCCUCAGAAUGGUUGGAAAUCAUUCGGAGAGUGCAAAGGCAGAAGGGAGCUUGACUGCGAGACAGACAGGUCGAGCAGGGACGAAAGUCGGGCUUAGUGAUCCGGUGGUUCCGCAUGGAAGGGCCAUCGCUCAACGGAUAAAAGCUACCCCGGGGAUAACAGGCUGAUCUCCCCCAAGAGUCCACAUCGACGGGGAGGUUUGGCACCUCGAUGUCGGCUCAUCGCAUCCUGGGGCUGUAGUCGGUCCCAAGGGUUGGGCUGUUCGCCCAUUAAAGCGGUACGCGAGCUGGGUUCAGAACGUCGUGAGACAGUUCGGUCCCUAUCCGUCGCGGGCGCAGGAAAUUUGAGAGGAGCUGUCCUUAGUACGAGAGGACCGGGAUGGACGCACCGCUGGUGUACCAGUUGUCCCGCCAGGGGCACCGCUGGGUAGCUAUGUGCGGAAGGGAUAAGCGCUGAAAGCAUCUAAGCGUGAAGCCCCCCUCAAGAUGAGAUUUCCCAUCGCGUCAAGCGAGUAAGAUCCCUCGAAGAUGACGAGGUCGAUAGGUCCGAGGUGGAAGCGUGGCGACACGUGGAGCUGACGGAUACUAAUCGAUCGAGGGCUUAACCAC
rnacentral:rRNA from 1 species